UUAGGUAACGCAGUACCUUGCACGCAACAUUUUAGUUUUUCACUCUCAAUACUCAUCGCUCAGAAACAGAAAAGACAGAAUUUUUGCUCUAGAGUUUCAUUAAAGUGCCCACAAUUCUCUUCCUUUUCAUCUCUUCCCCAAAGCCCCUUUUUCUGAAAUUCAAUCCCAUGCUCGCUUGGAAUCCGUGAUCCAGCCCCUUCAGCUACAAUUCGCUUCCAAUCUCGCUAAUGGGUGCCUUUUAUCUUGGUACAUUCUAUUGGGUUCUUUCUCAAUGCAAACAAUUUAACCCUCAAUACUGUGUUUGUAUCAGAUCCUAGAUUUCACUACGUGGGUUCACAAUACCAGAAUAAAAAACCUGGGUUAGUGAUAUAUAUACUUAUACAAAGUAAAUGGGUGUGCUUUCCUUUUCUUUUUCUUUAAUGGGUGAUUUGAUUUCUGAAGAAUUGCCGGCAAAUUGAGCUUUUUUAUUGUUUUUUAUUCUGGUUCCUUGAGUUGUUGUGUUGUGAAUGAGGCGGGUCAUAAGAAUGGUUGAUGUGAUGGGUCCAGACUUGAUUAGUGAUCUUCCUCAAAGCAUUAUAGAGAGUAUUCUGGUGAAGCUUCCAAUUACAGAUGCUGUGAGAACUAGCAUUUUAUCUAGUAAAUGGAGAUACAAAUGGGCUUCAAUUACUCAACUUGUGUUUGAUGACAAAUGUGUGCCCUUUAGUAAUGAUAGGGAGAUUGUUGAGAGGAGUGUUGUCAAGUUCAUCACCAGGGCGUUGUUUCUUCACCAAGGGCCAAUUCAUAAGUUUCAAAUUUCGAAUUCGAUGUUGCAAAGCUGUCCUGAAAUUGAUCAGUGGAUUCUUUUCCUAUCGAGGAAUGAUAUCAAGGAGUUGGUUAUGGAGAUAGGAGAAGGGGAAUUUUUUAGAAUACCUUCAAGCCUUUUCAAUUGUAGGAAGUUGACCAGGUUGGAGCUGUCGCGGUGCGAGUUGGACCCGCCGCAUAGUUUUAAGGGGUUUGUGUGCUUGAGGAGCCUCAACCUUCACCAAGUUUUGAUAUCCCCUGAUGCAGUUGAGAGCCUAAUUUCCAGAUGCCCUCUCUUGGAGAGUUUAUCACUGUCAUAUUUUGAUAAUUUGGCUCUUACUAUCUCUGCCCCGAAUCUUAAAUACUUGUAUCUUGAAGGUGAAUUCAAGGAUAUAUGUCUUGAAGAUACUCCACUUUUGGUGGAAAUAUCUAUUGCUAUGUAUAUGACUGAUGAUAUUGCAGAGCACUUUGAGCAAAGCUCAAACUGCAAUUUUCUCAAAUUUCUUGGUGGUGUGCCUAAUCUUGAGAAGCUUGUCGGGCUUAUCUACUUCACAAAGUAUUUGAGCAUAGGUAUUGAUUCGGUGCAUCUUCCAAUAAUGUACCACAAUUUAGAGACUAUUGAAUUACAUCAAGUAAAUUUUGAGGAUACAAAAGAGAUACUUGUCAUCCUUCGCAUGAUUACAAGUUCUCCCAACCUAAAAGAGCUACAUAUUUCAGGUUCAUCGAACAUACCCAUUGCUGCAGAUGCCCCGGACUUGGAUUUUUGGGAAAAAGGAUGCCUUUCAGAUUCUUCACUUAACAGGCUUAAAACCGUGAAGUUGUCAGAAAUGGGUGGUUGGCCACAUGAGCUAGAAUUUAUCAAAUAUUUGCUUUGCCGUUCUCCUGUGCUUGAGACAUUGAGUAUCAUUCCCUGUGUAUUUGACAUGGGGAAUAAUUUGAAAAUGUUGAUCGAAUUGGUGAAAUGUCGAAGAGCUUCUUCUAGAGGAGAAGUUAUUUUCAUCCACGAGUGAAAUGUAUUUGCAGUGACUAUCUUGGCCCAAAAUAUAAGAAUGGUAUACCGACACAAAUUCAGCCAUUCAAUGUGCCACAAUUUGUAUGUGCUCUUUGCCUUUGGCAUAGUUCAUAUCUACUAGCAAAUCAAUUUUCUUCAUUUCCAACCUCGAUUUGUAGCAACUUUAUGUACUUACAAAGUCGAAGAGGUAUCUUGUAAAGACACCUCAACUCCAAAGCUCUCUCAACCUUUCAUUUGCCAACUAUUCUUUCUCUUCCUCUCAGGACUUGUCCCACACUAGAUGAACGGGGGUUGUGCUUGUAGAAUAUUCUCCCACGUUCAAGUCCGUUUUUAGAAUAAAAGAAUAGUCAAAAUGACAUUUAAUGCAAAAAGUAAAAAUCAAAAUGUGAUUAUUGUCGUAUUUAUAGCAAUAUUUUAAUAUUUAGGGGUCUUUAGCUGAAUGGGUCUAGGUGGACCUAGUGGUCCAAUGACUCAUCUAUCUUAAGCAAUGGUUAGCCAAAUAUGAUUAAGUUAUGUUGUACAUGAUUCAUCAAUAUCUUCAGCAGGUGAUACACGUUAAUGGUAGAAAGUAGGCAACUUCUUACACGUGAUAGUUAGGUAUUGAUAAGCAACACCAGGUUCUAGUAGAUAGCAAAUAAAACUUGGUGUUUUUGCAUUCAGCCUCCGUAGGCAACACUUGAUCUUUGGGAGGGAGCACAUAACAUUCGUCACUCGAUGUUCAAAGCAUUUCAAACAUAAUGUUAUGACGUGCUUUUAGAAUAUUGUGUGUAAUGCACUGCAUGCUAGAGG